rnacentral:rRNA from 1 species
GACGAACGCUGGCGGCGUGCUUAACACAUGCGAGUCGAACGGAAAGGCCCUGCUUUUGUGGGGUGCUCGAGUGGCGAAAGGGUGAGUAACACGUGAGUAACCUGCCCUUGACUUUGGGAUAACUUCAGGAAACUGGGGCUAAUACCGGAUAGGAGCUCCUGCUGCAUGGUGGGGGUUGGAAAGUUUCGGCGGUUGGGGAUGGACUCGCGGCUUAGCAGCUUGUUGGUGGGGUAGUGGCUUACCAAGGCUUUGACGGGUAGCCGGCCUGGGAGGGUGACCGGCCACAUUGGGACUGGGAUACGGCCCAGACUCCUACGGGAGGCAGCAGUGGGGAAUAUUGCACAAUGGGCGGAAGCCUGAUGCAGCAACGCCGCGUGCGGGAUGACGGCCUUCGGGUUGUAAACCGCUUUCGCCUGUGACGAAGCGUGAGUGACGGUAAUGGGUAAAGAAGCACCGGCUAACUACGUG